GAGGGUAUAGCUCAGUGACAGAGUGCUUCCUUCGCAUGCAUGAGGUCCUGGGUUCAAUCCCCAGCACCUCUA
rnacentral:tRNA from 1 species